rnacentral:rRNA from 1 species
UGGAAGUAAAAGUCGUAACAAGGUCUCCGUUAGGUGAACCUGCGGAGGGAUCAUUA